rnacentral:rRNA from 1 species
GAUGAACGCUGGCGGCGUGCCUAAUACAUGCAAGUAGAACGCUGAAGGAGGAGCUUGCUCUUCUGGAUGAGUUGCGAACGGGUGAGUAACGCGUAGGUAACCUGCCUGGUAGCGGGGGAUAACUAUUGGAAACGAUAGCUAAUACCGCAUGACAACAGUUAUUGCAUGAUAACUGUUUAAAAGGGGCAACUGCUCCACUACCAGAUGGACCUGCGUUGUAUUAGCUAGUUGGUGAGGUAACGGCUCACCAAGGCGACGAUACAUAGCCGACCUGAGAGGGUGAUCGGCCACACUGGGACUGAGACACGGCCCAGACUCCUACGGGAGGCAGCAGUAGGGAAUCUUCGGCAAUGGACGGAAGUCUGACCGAGCAACGCCGCGUGAGUGAAGAAGGUUUUCGGAUCGUAAAGCUCUGUUGUAAGAGAAGAACGAGUGUGAGAGUGGAAAGUUCACACUGUGACGGUAUCUUACCAGAAAGGGACGGCUAACUACGUGCCAGCAGCCGCGGUAAUACGUAGGUCCCGAGCGUUAUCCGGAUUUAUUGGGCGUAAAGCGAGCGCAGGCGGUUAGAUAAGUCUGAAGUUAAAGGCUGUGGCUUAACCAUAGUACGCUUUGGAAACUGUUUAACUUGAGUGCAAGAGGGGAGAGUGGAAUUCCAUGUGUAGCGGUGAAAUGCGUAGAUAUAUGGAGGAACACCGGUGGCGAAAGCGGCUCUCUGGCUUGUAACUGACGCUGAGGCUCGAAAGCGUGGGGAGCAAACAGG